UCGCUCCUACCGAUUGGAUGAUCCGGUGAAAUCUUCGGAGAUGAAGCUUCCCUGGGGCAACUCAGUUUGUUUCGUCAAAGUUGCUUAAACCUUAUCAUCUAGAGGAAGGAG
rnacentral:rRNA from 1 species